UACGAAGGGUGCAAACGUUGCUCGGAAUUAUUGGGCGUAAAGAGCUCGUAGGCGGUUUGUCGCGUCUGCUGUGAAACCGGAGGCUCAACCUCCGGCCUGCAGUGGGUACGGGCAAACUAGAGUGCGGUAGGGGAGAUUGGAAUUCCUGGUGUAGCGGUGGAAUGCGCAGAUAUCAGGAGGAACACCGAUGGCGAAGGCAGAUCUCUGGGCCGUAACUGACGCUGAGGAGCGAAAGCGUGGGGAGCGAACGG
rnacentral:rRNA from 1 species